AACCAAAGUGUUGAGUUCAGUUCAAGGUGUUGUCCCUGUUCUGGUAAUUAAGCUUUGGGACAGUGAGUGACUGGGAAGUGCACCCUGGUGACUGAAAGCAUGUUUCAUGCCACCUGUGUUUCUCAGCCUACAAAC
rnacentral:snoRNA from 1 species